rnacentral:misc_RNA from 1 species
GAUGAAGAACGCAGCGAAAUGCGAUAAGUAAUGCGAAUUGCAGAAUUCAGUGAGUCAUCGAAUCUUUGAACGCACAUUGCGCCCUUUGGUAUUCCGGGGGGCAUGCCUGUCCGAGCGUCAUUGCCGCCCUCAAGCACGGCUUGUGUGUUGGGCCCCCGCCCCCCGGCUUCGGGGGGCGGGCCCGAAAGGCAGCGGCGGCACCGCGUCCGGUCCUCGAGCGUAUGGGGCUUCGUCACCCGCUCUGUAGGCCCGGCCGGCGCCCGCCGGCGACCCCAAUCAAUCUUUCCAGGUUGACCUCGGAUCAGGUAGGGAUACCCGCUGAACUUAAGCAUAUCAAUAAGCGGAGGA